UACGUAGGGGGCAAGCGUUGUCCGGAUUUAUUGGGCGUAAAGCGCUCGCAGGUGGUCCGAUGCGUCGUGCGUGAAAGACCCCGGCUCAACUGGGGGGCGUCGUGCGAUACGGUCGGACUGGAGGCCAGUAGGGGGAUGCGGAAUUCCGGGUGUAGUGGUGGAAUGCGUAGAGAUCCGGAGGAACACCAGCGGCGAAGGCGGCAUCCUGGACUGGUCCUGACACUCAUGAGCGAAAGCGUGGGGAGCGAUCCGG
rnacentral:rRNA from 1 species